CCAUCUGCAGACCAAAACAAGAUAUAGUUUUUCUCCCCUCCUUCUAAUUUUGGAUCUCUCUCUCCUGUAUAGUGUUUUCAAUCUUCUUGCAGUACGGAAAAGAUCGUCUCCCAUCACUUGUCAUCGGUUUUCAAUCUCAGCGUUACAAAGAACUCGAAGCUGCCAUUGACGUGCUUCCAAGCUCUGCAUCGAGAUCCAAACGGCUUUAUCGUCAAGCCAAGGAGGGAUUCUCAAGAAGAACGAUCCUCCGUUUGAAGCCUUCAGCUUUGUUUCUUUUCUCUUUGGAUCUGACCCGUAGCUGCUUAAUCUCCCGGCCUCGAACAAUUGUUAGUCGAGGUUAGAAGUUGCUUGGAUCUUGGUCAAAUUAAAAAUCAAGCUUGAACCCCUUCAGUCUCUCUCUUCGUCAAACCCUAUAAUUUGAUUACCAGAUGCCAAGUUCUCUCCCAGUCUAGUACCUAUUGAAUCUAUGCCCUUUUCUUCUCCAGGCCUCCACCAAGAUGGCUUUGGAAUCCCAUAAGUUUGGAUUGUACAAAAUCGACAGCACAACACUAAUUUAUCGUAUGCUAUGGUUAAUUUGUGCCCUGUUCUUCCUGGUUGUCCAUAUCAAAGAAGAGUUCCAGCUGCGGGAAGCAAGGGUCUGUGAAUCACUGACGAAGCUUACAAGAGUAUCACUUCUAGUAGUGUAUAGUUUCUUAUGGAUGUAUUUUUAACUAGUAAAUUUAUUGUAUAAUACAUUUAAAAUACAGUACAAGAUCAUAUAUGCACCAAUUAUUUGGUGCAUUUUUUUUUAAUAUAGCCUACCUA